rnacentral:misc_RNA from 1 species
UGAGUUGAAUUGAGUUGAGUUUUGACAUGAAGCUUUGUUGCCAUUUUCUUUUUCAAUCAAUGAAACCUGGAGGCCUAAAACACAGGUUGGGCUAGUGUUACACAUCAACACCCAUGUAUUCCAAAUCCUAAAACAAUUUGUUAAACAUGCAAUAAAUUCGCCCUUGAUCACGCUUUUGGGAGAUCCCAUCAACCCUUUGGUCACAAAACCAUUUCUUUAAUAUGUAAGCAAGUCAACUAUUUAAAUUAAGGAAAUAAGAACUGCAUACUUGAAGAAAUAUCAGGAAGAACA